rnacentral:rRNA from 1 species
CAGUAGCCGCGGUAAUACGUAGGGUGCGAGCGUUAAUCGGAAUUACUGGGCGUAAAGCGUGCGCAGGCGGUUCGUUAAGACAGAUGUGAAAUCCCCGGGCUUAACCUGGGAACUGCAUUUGUGACUGACGGGCUAGAGUAUGGCAGAGGGGGGUAGAAUUCCACGUGUAGCAGUGAAAUGCGUAGAGAUGUGGAGGAAUACCGAUGGCGAAGGCAGCCCCCUGGGCCAAUACUGACGCUCAUGCACGAAAGCGUGGGGAGCAAACAGGAUUAGAUACCCCAGUAGUCCCUGUCUCUUAUCA